CGAACAAGAAAAUUGUUUUUAGUGUCAUUCGCUUCCAGUACACAGAGACAACAACACAGAGAAUAAAUAUAAGAUGAGAAUAUAAAAAAUACACAUGUGGCAGCUUUACACAAAUUAUUGGUCAAAUGAGCUCGAGUCUCAAGCUCAAACUCAAUAUCCACUUGGGUUUUAUGAUCUUUGCUGAUUCACUAAAGUCCAUCCAUCCAUCCAUUUUCUACCGCUUAUCCGGGGCCGGGUCGCGGGGGCAGCAGUCUAAGCAGGGAUGCCCAGACUCCGGAAAAAAAAAUGCAGCAAGUGCUUACUAUUGUGGGAGGAAUUUGCAAGGAAACAGUGAAGUUACUGGUAAAGUAACCAGUAAAGUACUGUCAAUGUGUGCAGUACUGUACUACUCUGUAAAACAUUAGCUACUUCUAUAUUGUGCUUUCACAUUAAAAUAAUAAGGAGAAGAA